UGGGGAAUUUUGGACAAUGGGCGAAAGCCUGAUCCAGCAAUGCCGCGUGUGUGAAGAAGGCCUUCGGGUUGUAAAGCACUUUUGUCCGGAAAGAAAUCCUUGGCUCUAAUACAGUCGGGGGAUGACGGUACCGGAAGAAUAAGCACCGGCUAACUACGUGCCAGCAGCCGCGGUAAUACGUAGGGUGCAAGCGUUAAUCGGAAUUACUGGGCGUAAAGCGUGCGCAGGCGGUUUGCUAAGACCGAUGUGAAAUCCCCGGGCUCAACCUGGGAACUGCAUUGGUGACUGGCAGGCUAGAGUAUGGCAGAGGGGGGUAGAAUUCCACGUGUAGCAGUGAAAUGCGUAGAGAUGUGGAGGAAUACCGAUGGCGAAGGCAGCCCCCUGGGCCAAUACUGACGCUCAUGCACGAAAGCGUGGGGGAGCAAACAGGAUUAGAUACCCUGGUAGUCCACGCCCUAAACGAUGUCAACUAGCUGUUGGGGGAUUCAUUUUCCUUAGUAACGUAGCUAACGCGUGAAGUUGACCGCCU
rnacentral:rRNA from 1 species